rnacentral:rRNA from 1 species
AACGAACGCUGGCGGCAUGCCUAACACAUGCAAGUCGAACGAAGCCUUCGGGCUUAGUGGCGCACGGGUGCGUAACGCGUGGGAAUCUGCCCUUGGGUUCGGAAUAACAGUUAGAAAUGACUGCUAAUACCGGAUGAUGUCUUCGGACCAAAGAUUUAUCGCCCAAGGAUGAGCCCGCGUAGGAUUAGGUAGUUGGUGGGGUAAUGGCCCACCAAGCCGACGAUCCUUAGCUGGUCUGAGAGGAUGAUCAGCCACACUGGGACUGAGACACGGCCCAGACUCCUACGGGAGGCAGCAGUGGGGAAUAUUGGACAAUGGGCGAAAGCCUGAUCCAGCAAUGCCGCGUGAGUGAUGAAGGCCUUAGGGUUGUAAAGCUCUUUUACCAGGGAUGAUAAUGACAGUACCUGGAGAAUAAACUCCGGCUAACUCCGUGCUAGCAGCCGCCGCAGUAA